ACACACACCUGAGAUCACGUGAUGAUAUUAUGAAAAGGGCUGGGAAAAGAUAAGCAGGAAUCAGGAAUCAAGCAACAGCAUAGAAAUAAUGAUUUCCCAACACAUCUCAUGGGAAAAAAUGGGAUGAAAUCAAAGAUACAUUCACCCCAAAUCUUGUCCUCAUAAGACCCUGUCAUGAAGAAGAAGAAGAAGAAGAAGAAGAAGAAGAAGAAGAAGAAGAAGAAGAAGAAGAAGAAGAAGAAGAAGAAGAAGAAGAAGAAGAAGAAGCAGCACUGGAUAGACUUUAAUGAUUUGGAUGGACUCCGUUCCAGGCGACUCUACCUUCAGCACCAAGGCCAGCGCACCUGGUCCAGGAGCCUUCCCUUUUCUUCACCCAGCACUCAGGCUCAGCACAAUCUACGAAACGCGCUUUCCUAACUUAUGAAUCAGGCUUAUUAAUUUUCCGAAAGUGGCCAUGGGAACCAUCAGGAUAUUUCUUCUACGAAAAAUGAAAAUGAUCAAUUUGUUGGAGAGCUCCCUUGCAUGUGUGCACAGAGACACCAUCGGGCUGGGUUGGCUGAGUUCUUCUGGAGUUACUCCUCUGGGCCAGCCCCCUCUUUGCACAACGAGGUUAGGAGUAGCUCUUGUUUCUAGUCCUGCUUGGUGGUUUCGGUAUAAGGGUGAGAAGAGGAGGAACCCAGGUGUUCUGGGCUCUGAUGUUCUGGGAUUUCUUUUUCUAAGGGCUUAUUCUUCAGGUUAAUGUAUAAUUCCUGAUUCUAACAAAGGACUACUCUCUGCCACGAAGAUUAAUAUUCCCGGAGAAGAUAACGGAAGUCCCGUGAGGGGACAGCUCGAACAUUAGUUUUCUCUUUGUGAAUUAAGAAACUGGUCACAAAAGAUUACUAAUCACCCCUAUAACACAGCAAAUCACUGACCACCAUAAGCUUAACGCCCAGAUUUCCAGGGAAUAUCCACCCAUGCCCAAAUUGGUCCCUUUUCAGCAAACUACAUAGAUAUACCACUGUCUCCGGGGGUCACAGUUAUUCACCCCUUGUUCCAGUGCAGUUGUCUGAAAAUAGAGUUAGAAAAUUGAAAAUGAGACGGAUGUCGGGGAGGAGAGGAUGCUGGUUGCUGUGGCGUCUUGGCUUCCAUGUUUAGAAGCCAAACGGAUUCCAAGAUUGCUGGGUGAUACACCCUAGCCAGCGGCACAGCUCCUGGCCUUCUGCAGGGGUCCGUGCAACCUCGGCGCUAGCAGCUGUCCCCUCUCAAGGAUCGUCAGCCACAGAGUUCAUGGCCAAACUUGGAAGAACAGGGGUGGUCCCGUGGUGGCACCUGUGCCAGAGACGCCCUGAGCGCACUGCACAGAAAGAGGACACUUCACUGUGGCCGGCUGCGACUGCCAGACCCAGGAAGUGUGGGGAAUCAACGAACUCUGGGGCCCGGCUCCAGGUCCAGAGGACUGACAGUACCAGAGAGAAGGACGAGGGGGGGAGGGUCCCCAACGCUCUCCCAAAGUGCGUCCAGUCGUGCGUCCAUCUGAUGCGAAUGUUCCUUCCAUCUGGUUAGAAUGACAGUAGCUUUCAAGUCACUCACUAUGAGAAAAUGACAUUUUAGUUUUCAAA
rnacentral:lncRNA from 1 species